CAGAGGGUAGUUUUAUUUAGAAUCUUAGCUUUGGGAGUUAAGGGUAGGAGUUAAAAUCUCCUCUCUCUGAGCACUAGGGAGGGUUUU
rnacentral:tRNA from 1 species